AUUGAACGCUGGCGGCUGGCCUAACACAUGCAAGUCGAGCGGAUGAAGGGUGCUUGCACCCUGAUUCAGCGGCGGACGGGUGAGUAAUGCCUAGGAAUCUGCCUGGUAGUGGGGGACAACGUUUCGAAAGGAACGCUAAUACCGCAUACGUCUACGGGAGAAAGCAGGGGACUUCGGGCCUUGCGCUAUCAGAUGAGCCUAGGUCGGAUUAGCUGAGGUGGUGGGGUAAAGGCUCACCAAGGCGACGAUCCGUAAACUGGUCUGAGAGGAUGAUCAGUCACACUGGAACUGAGACACGGUCCAGACUCUACGGGAGGCAGCAGGGGRAAUAUUUGGACAAUGGGCGAAAGCCUGAUCCAGCGCAUGCCCGUGUGUGAAGAAGGUCUUCGGAUUGUAAAGCACUUUAAGUUGGGAGGAAGGGCAUUAACCUAAUACGUUAGUGUUUUGACGUUACCGACAGAAUAAGCWCCGGCUAACUUCGUGC
rnacentral:rRNA from 1 species